UUGAAUUGAAGAGUUUGAUCAUGGCUCAGAUUGAACGCUGGCGGCAGGCUUAACACAUGCAAGUCGAACGGUAACAUAAAGAAGCUUGCUUCUUUGAUGACGAGUGGCGGACGGGUGAGUAAUGCUUGGGAAUCUAGCUUAUGGAGGGGGAUAACUACGGGAAACUGUAGCUAAUACCGCGUAGAAUCGAGAGAUGAAAGUGUGGGACCUUCGGGCCACAUGCCAUAGGAUGAGCCCAAGUGGGAUUAGGUAGUUGGUGAGGUAAAGGCUCACCAAGCCGACGAUCUCUAGCUGGUCUGAGA
rnacentral:rRNA from 1 species